AUAUAGGAGUAGUGGCAAUACCGUAACCGAUGAAGUUCUACUGAGGUGCGGUUAUUGCUAGUUGAAAACUUUAACCAAUACCCCGCCAUGGGGACGUGAAAUUAUAAGAUAUGUUUAACAG